rnacentral:lncRNA from 1 species
AUGAUGUUUGGCAGCUUUCAAGGUAAAACAGUAAGUCUGAGGAGCAGAAACCAAGGUCAGUGCUGGAAGUGCUCUUCAGUGUUGCAAGUCACUGCAAUAAAAUUCUCCAGGCUUUCCUCCGGAAGUAAGAGGAGAAACUCUUCCUAUUUCAACUUCAGCUGUAGUGGGAAUGAUGAUGAAAUGGACACAGAAGGGUGA